rnacentral:lncRNA from 10 species
CAUUCCUUCACAGGGACCCUAGCCAGUUAAAGCUGAUACAUUCCUGUGGGUCAACUAUGCAACUAACUCAGAUUUUGAGCAAACAAAGCUCUCAAGUUGGUGAUCCUCAGGAGUCUCUGCAUUAGUUGGACAGCUCUUCUGGAAUUAUCUUCUAAGUCAACUGUGGGUUGGGUAGGUGGCUCUGCUGAUUUUUCGCUGGACUUCCACAUUUGGGACGAGUUGGCUGUCAUCAGCUCUAGAAAGGGUGUGGCCGUUUUACAUUGGCUGUUUUCCUCACAUUCCUCAAGCAGGUACUGUAAUAAAGAACUGGAGAAAUACAGUCAGAUGGGAAGUAGCCCUUGCUGUCAAGGAGCUUGCCAUCUAAUGGGGGAGACAGGCAAGUAAACCAAAGACUACACAGUGCAGUAUGGUAAGUGCCAUGAUUUUGAUGUGACAGGGCACAGUGGACGACCUUCCAAAUCAAAGCAAGUAACUAGGGGUUGACAAUGGUAAGUAUCAUAGUUGAAGUAUCCUUGAACAAGGUUUCAGGAAGAAGAAGAAGGGAAUUUCAUGCAGGGAAACAGCCAAAGCUCAGUGAGUCAAAAUAUCACAGCAUUCUUGGUAAGCCCAAUUGUUUUUUCUGUUUUGCUAUUUUGGUGGAGAGAAAGGAACACAUAAAGGAAUAACAUGAGAGAAGGCUAUUUGGGGAAGUGUAGUAGUUAAGGUUCUGGCUCAAACAACAACUGCAGCUCAUAAAGUUGACUUUAGUGGAAGGAUACUGGGGUAUCUCAUGGAAUCUUGGGAACUGUUGAAUAACCAGGGAAACUCUGGGAAACUCACUGGUAGGAAUCCAUAAACUGUCCUCCUGGUGGGCUGUAAACAACUCACCCUCUAUGCAUCUCACAUCAAAAUUCCAGUUUCUUGGGAAAACAAGUCUGUUUGCCCAAUUUGGGUCAUAUUUCCACGUCCAUGUUACUCAGGCAUGAUUCAUCUGCAAGUUAUGUGUAUAGAUAUUUUGCUACUGUUCCACCCUUACGCUGUGCUGGGGAGGGAGGUGUCACUGUGAGCUGUGUCGGUGCCUUAAGAGAUAUCUGUUGUGUCUUAUUACUUGGUUGCUUUUCCCCACAUGUACAAUGACAAAAAUGCCUUCAACCUAUUUGAUCCAGCCGUUCCAGUACAACUCCUAUACUUGCCAUCUUUCCAAGCCCAAAGGUACAUCCAGCUGAUGGAAGGAGCAUCUUGGUGUUAAUAUUCUUUUAGUCAUGGUCUCUGAAAGUAAAAUGUCUAUUCUUCUAAUUCUGGCACAAUCUUAUCUAGCUAUAGUUCCUCAUGGUCCUGCACUCCAUGGACUAAAUUAUGAUGAAACUGAAACACAAAAAAUUUAGAUUAACUCUUAGGUGACAAAGCCAGGAUUGAAGCUCAUGCGGUCUGGCUCCAGAACAACUCUUCUUCAUAGUUACGUUAUACUGCCCCUGCA